rnacentral:ncRNA from 1 species
AAGUUAUUACGGAUCUAUCCAUGACCAGGAUGAAGCUUGGAUGAAACUAAGCAGAGGUCCGAACCGACUGAUGUUGAAGAAUCAGCGGAUGAGUUGUGGUUAGGGGUGAAAUGCCACUCGAACCCAGAGCUAGCUGGUUCUCCCCGAAAUGCGUUGAGCGCCAGCAGUUGACUGGACAUCUAGGGGUAAAGCACUGUUUCGGUGCGGGCUGCGCGAGCGGUACCAAAUCGAGGCAAACUCUGAAUACUAGAUAUGACCCAAAAAUAACAGGGGUCAAGGUCGGCCAGUGAGACGAUGGGGGAUAAGCUUCAUCGUC